GCGACGCCUACAAGGCGGAAUACCUGCGUGCCGAAUUGGCGCGGCAGAUCGCCCAGCGGCUGGCGCCGUUCGACGCGCUGGUGGUGCC
rnacentral:tRNA from 1 species